GGGUUCAUUCAACCUAUGCCAACAUUUUGAAAUUUAGGUAUAAAAUUGUGUGAAAAAACGUUGGCAUAGGUUGAAUAAUUUGUUACAGAUUAAGUGUUAUAAAAACAUAAAUUAAUUAGGGGCUAAUCAAUCUACAACCAGUUUAAACCUAGCGUUAAAGUAUACUCAAUAUACAUUUUUUAUACAAGUAUUAGUGAAAAUGUAGGUAAUUGGGUGUGUUGAGGAUCACUAUUUCACAAAGGAAUUAGUUUGUGUAUUUCAUAAAGACUGACUCCUGUAAAAUAUCUA
rnacentral:lncRNA from 1 species